rnacentral:lncRNA from 1 species
UAUUCAACAGAAAUGUUGCAAUAUAUACAUGAUAUAGGUAUACCAAAAUUAUAAGCAUUGACCUGACAACGUUUGUAUUUAAUGAUAUAAUUAAUAUAUAGUGUUUGUGCACUUGUUAUGCCUUUAAAUCGUCAAGGGUGUUUACGUAACAUAUUACUCGUUGUCAUAACCCCCUUAUUCCUAAUAUUUAUUAUUUUGAUUUCGAUGUGAAUUAUAGCGUGAAUGCCUUCUUCACGUUUUUUUCCUAAUGUAUGCCUUUAAAAUUACGUUCUUGUCAUGUUUACUACAAUGUUUGUACAUGUCGUUUACUAUUUUCUUUGAUAAUUGUUUUGUUUUGUUUUUC